AACUAACGCUGGCGGCAUGCCUAACACAUGCAAGUCGAACGAGACCUUCGGGUCUAGUGGCGCACGGGUGCGUAACGCGUGGGAACCUUCCCUUAGGUUCGGAAUAACUCCCCGAAAGGGGUGCUAAUACCGGAUAAUGUCUUCGGACCAAAGAUUUAUCGCCUUUGGAUGGGCCCGCGUUGGAUUAGCUAGUUGGUAGGGUAAAAGCCUACCAAGGCGACGAUCCAUAGCUGGUCUGAGAGGAUGAUCAGCCACACUGGGACUGAGACACGGCCCAGACUCCUACGGGAGGCAGCAGUGGGGAAUAUUGGAAAAUGGGCGAAAGCAUGAUCCAGCAAUGCCGCGUGAGUGAUGAAGGCCUUAGGGUUGUAAAGCUCUUUUACCCGGGAUGAUAAUGACAGUACCGGGAGAAUAAGCUCCGGCUAACUCCGUG
rnacentral:rRNA from 1 species